AAACUACCUGAAUUGCGUAUGAUUA
rnacentral:rRNA from 1 species